rnacentral:lncRNA from 1 species
AAAUACUUACAGCCCAAAUUAAUUAUCAAGACAUACGCCUUUACAUACUCAUUUCUAAACCCCUUCACCAUACCAUAUUAAGACAAAGAUUAACAGAUUCCAAUAUUAGAGCAGAGAAAUAACAUUUAUAGUGAAUCCUUCCCAACCAUACUCCAACGAUCUUAGAAAUAUAAAAUUAAUCACGAAGAAUAGUCAAUAGAAAUUAAGCAAAUCAAUCAGUUAAUAGUGAAUCCUGCCAAACCAUACUCCAAAAACCAUAGAGAUAUAUAAUUACACUAAUACUAAUCUCAAAUUCAAAAGGCACAUAGAGACAGUGAAGUUCAUAAAUAGAAAGUUUUAGACCAAAUCAACAAUACUAUGAGUAUUUUAACAAGUAAAAAUGAGCAGGUUUAGCAAGCUAUCAACCCAAGAAUCAUGAGCAGUUGCAUAUAAAAAACUAUAACAAGCAUACUCAAACGAUAGUAAGAAAUUAUAUGCAAACAUAUAUGAAUCAUUUGAAAGAGAUAGCAGAGGGUUAAACAGAUGGAGCAAUAAUUUAAAAGAGUACCGGCGACGGAUCUGAUGAGAUUCACUUUCAAAUAAAUAGCAAACCUAGUGCUUCACCGGAACUCACUUAGUCAGAGUGGCGUUAAUAGUCCUCGCACCUACUGACCGGAGCUCGGACUAGUACCGCUCUUUUUGUUGUUGUGGUCAUCUUCGAUGGAGAGAAGAGAGAAGGAGAGUUGAGCUCACAUGUCGCUCUCCGUCGUAGCUGCUUGUCGGAGUCAAGGCUGGUUCUCACCGGCUGCUGCUGUUGAUGUCACUCGUCCUGACCGAAAAGAGAGAAGAACGGAGGCAAGAGAGAAAGAGGAGGGAGAGGACGGCGAAAGGAGAAGAGGACAACCGACGACCUUUCUUGUCGGCCGCUGGCUCACGAUGGGAGCAGUCUCGCCAGAAAAUGGAGAGGCGAGAGGGAGAGGGAUUGGGCUAUGGUCUAGAGGAGAGGAGAAAAGAAUGAAAU